GAUGAACGCUGGCGGCGUGCCUAAUACAUGCAAGUCGAGCGAACGGACGAGGAGCUUGCUCCUCUGACGUUAGCGGCGGACGGGUGAGUAACACGUGGAUAACCUACCUAUAAGACUGGGAUAACUUCGGGAAACCGGAGCUAAUACCGGAUAAUAUAUUGAACCGCAUGGUUCAAUAGUGAAAGACGGUUUUGUUGUCACUUAUAGAUGGAUCCGCGCCGCAUUAGCUAGUUGGUAAGGUAACGGCUUACCAAGGCAACGAUGCGUAGCCGACCUGAGAGGGUGAUCGGCCACACUGGAACUGAGACACGGUCCAGACUCCUACGGGAGGCAGCAGUAGGGAAUCUUCCGCAAUGGGCGAAAGCCUGACGGAGCAACGCCGCGUGAGUGAUGAAGGUCUUCGGAUCGUAAAACUCUGUUAUUAGGGAAGAACAAAUGUGUAAGUAACUAUGCACGUCUUGACGGUACCUAAUCAGAAAGCCACGGCUAACUACGUG
rnacentral:rRNA from 1 species